rnacentral:lncRNA from 1 species
CAGCUACAUGCUGGCACUCAAUCAAGUAGUAGCGCUCGCACGUCACUCGGCUCCUCGGCUCACUUCGGUGGCAAUUUCUCCUUAGGCGCAACAACUUUCUCAUCUUUGGUGGGUAGUACCUGGGGAUCCUGACGUCCCUUGAAGAGAUCUUCCUCUAGAUCUUACAGUCGGAUGUUAUCAUCGCGCCAUAGGGGUUGUGCUUCCGACCUAUAGAAUAGUAUUCCCCGAAGGAGGAACAUAGAUGGUCUUUAGCUCCUCAACUCGUUCAACAUAAAAUUCAAAGGGAAUUAAAAUGAAGAAAAUAAAGAACCAAAAUAUUCUUAGGGACCAUAUAUCUUUCUCCCCUGCAUUGGGUUUGACUAGCUACUCUAGAUCAUAAAAUGCAGCAUCUACAAUUUUCUUGGCACUUUUCUUGG